rfam:Erysipelotrichaceae bacterium NYT-BL-F16 NODE_40_length_18419_cov_116.171_ID_79, whole genome shotgun sequence.
AUAAAUCUUCAGGGCGGGGUGAAAUUCCCCACCGGCGGUACAGCCCGCGAGCCGUAAGGCACGAUUCGGUGAAACUCCGAAGCCGACAGUAGAGUCUGGAUGGAAGAAGAUUAGU